rnacentral:rRNA from 1 species
GGGGAGGAUCCGAGCGUUAUCCGGAUUUAUUGGGUUUAAAGGGUGCGUAGGCGGCCUAUUAAGUCAGGGGUGAAAUACGGUGGCUCAACCAUCGCAGUGCCUUUGAUACUGAUGGGCUUGAAUCCAUUUGAAGUGGGCGGAAUAAGACAAGUAGCGGUGAAAUGCAUAGAUAUGUCUUAAAACUCCGAUUGCGAAGGCAGCUCACUAAGCUGGUAUUGACGCUGAUGCACGAAAGCGUGGGGAUCGAACAGGAUUAGAUACCCUGGUAGUCCACGCCCUAAACGAUGAUAACUCGAUGUUGGCGAUAGACAGCCAGCGUCCCAGCGAAAGCGUUAAGUUAUCCACCUGGGGAGUACGCCCGCAAGGGUGAAACUCAAAGGAAUUGACGGGGGCCCGCACAAGCGGAGGAGCAUGUGGUUUAAUUCGAUGAUACGCGAGGAACCUUACCCGGGCUUGAAAGUUAGUGAAGAGUGCAAAGACGCACUCGUCCUUCGGGACACGAAACUAGGUGCUGCAUGGCUGUCGUCAGCUCGUGCCGUGAGGUGUUGGGUUAAGUCCCGCAACGAGCGCAACCCCUAUGUUUAGUUGCCAGCAUGUCAUGGUGGGGACUCUAAACAGACUGCCUGUGCAAACAGAGAGGAAGGUGGGGACAACUUCAAGUCAUCAUGGCCCUUACGUCCGGGGCUACACACGUGCUACAAUGGAUGGUACAGCGGGCAGCUACAUAGCAAUAUGAUGCUAAUCUCUAAAAGCCAUUCACAGUUCGGAUUGGGGUCUGCAACUCGACCCCAUGAAGUUGGAUUCGCUAGUAAUCGCGUAUCAGCAUGACGCGUGAAUAC